rnacentral:rRNA from 1 species
AGUAAAUAGAUACCCGGGUAGUCCACGCCGUAAACGAUGAAUACUAGGUGUAGGGGUUGUCAUGACCUCUGUGCCGCCGCUAAACGCAUUAAGUACUCCGCCUGGGGAGUACGGUCGCAAGAUUAAAACUCAAAGGAAUUGACGGGGGCCCGCACAAGCAGCGGAGCAUGUGGUUUAAAUUCGAAGCAACGCGAAGAACCUUACCUAGACUUGACAUCUCCUGAAUUACUCUGUAAUGGAGGAAGCCCUUCGGGGCAGGAAGACAGGUGGUGCAUGGUUGUCGUCAGCUCGUGUCGUGAGAUGUUGGGUUAAGUCCCGCAACGAGCGCAACCCUUAUUGUUAGUUGCUACCAUUAAGUUGAGCACUCUAGCGAGACUGCCCGGGUUAACCGGGAGGAAGGUGGGGAUGACGUCAAAUCAUCAUGCCCCUUAUGUCUAGGGCUACACACGUGCUACAAUGGCUGGUACAGAGAGAUGCUAAACCGCGAGGUGGAGCCAAACUUUAAAACCAGUCUCAGUUCGGAUUGUAGGCUGAAACUCGCCUAC